rnacentral:lncRNA from 10 species
UACAAACACAAAAUUAGAUCCAUAUGAGUUAGCUAUUAUGCUAAAUGCUGGGGAUACUAAAGUUAACAAGACAGGUAAGGCCUCUGUCUUUGUGGGGCUUCAUUUGAGUUGAGGGUGAGAGAUUACAAAUGAGUAAGAAAAAGGUACAGCAAAACGCAGUAAUUUCAGCUAGUGUUAAUAUCUCUUAAGAACAUAAAACAGGAGAAUGGAAUAAGGGGCAUUCAUUUAUUAAAUUAACUUCUCUGAUAUAUCAUUGUAAAACAUGCAAGGGUGAAGGAAAUGUCAUCAUGACCCUCAAGAAGCUUAUCUAGUCAAACAAAUAAAAUAUUCUACAAUGCAUGGAAGGCAAGCAGCAUCAAAUAUGGAAUGGAAAGUAGAAGAAAAAAAGGCUGGGAUGUUCAAAGGAAGGAGGAAGAACAAGGAAGGUUACCUGAAGAAGGAGUUGCUAUUUCAGCUGUGCUUUAAAAGAUGGACAGAUUUUACCCAGACAACUAUAGGAGUAGAAGAAGCAGUACAUCCCAUAAUCAAUGAAACUACAAAUGGUACUGCAGAUGGAACCUCAGAUGACUUCAACCAGCACCUAUUAUCAAGGACCUCUAGACCAGCCUGCCAGCCCAUACCCGGACGUUGACACCCAAACCACCUCUCAUGAGGAAACCUCAGGUGCAGGGCCCCUUCUACACCCCUAUUCAGCAGGAAGCAGUUAGAGUGGUCAUUGUCCCACACCCCAACAGCAGUUGGGCUCCCCUGUUGAGAGGGAGGACUGAGGGGUGGAAUUGGCGGGACUUCCUGGGCCAGUUUGGGGACUUUUGCAAAAGACCCUUGUGACUCAGGUUUUGAGUUCUUAACCAAUCGAGUGAAGGAUUCAAAAUUAAUCCCUCCAAGGGAGGAUUGAAAAAGAACCACUCUCUGGACAAAAAGAAAGGGGAGGGGGUAACACAGGGAUAUAAGCCCUAGCCACCCAAGCCAGCAACAGCAACCCUUCCAGGUCCCCUUCCACUGUGUAGAAGCUUUCCUUUCACUUUGUUCAAUAAACUGUGCUGCUGCUCAC